rnacentral:rRNA from 1 species
GGCCUGCCCAAUGGAUAAGUUUAAAUGGCUGCGGUAUUUUGACCGUGCAAAGGUAGCAUAAUCAUUAGUUUUUUAAUUGAAAGCUUGUAUGAAAGGUUUGAUGAAAAAGUUUCUGUCUCUAGAAGAAUUUAUUAGAAUUUUAUUUUUAAGUUAAAAAGCUUAAAUAUAUAUAGAAGACGAGAAGACCCUAUAGAGUUUUAUAUUUAUUUUACAUUAGAUUAAAGGUUUGUAAAAGGUUGUUUGUUUAUAUAAGUAUUUAGUUGGGGUGACAGGAAAAUUGAUAGAACUUUUUAUUUAUAUGGACAUUGAUGUGUGAAUUAGUGAUCCCAGUGUUUGGAUUAUAAGAUAAAAUUACCUUAGGGAUAACAGCGUAAUUUUUCUUAGAGUUCUAAUUGAAGGAAAAGAUUGCGACCUCGAUGUUGGAUUAAAAUUUAUUAGUGGUGUAGGAGCUGCUUAUUUAGGUCUGUUCGACCUUUAAAAUUUUACAUGAUCUGAGUUUAGACCGGUGUGAG